GUGUCAGCAGCCGCGGUAAUACGGAGGGUGCGAGCGUUGUUCGGAAUUAUUGGGCGUAAAGCGCGUGUAGGCGGUUUGUUAAGUCUGAUGUGAAAGCCCCGGGCUCAACCUGGGAAGUGCAUUGGAUACUGGCAGACUUGAAUACGGGAGAGGGUAGUGGAAUUCCUGGUGUAGGAGUGAAAUCCGUAGAUAUCAGGAGGAACACCGGUGGCGAAGGCGGCUGCCUGGACCGAUAUUGACGCUGAGACGCGAAAGCGUGGGGAGCAAACAGGAUUAGAAACCCCGGUAGUCC
rnacentral:rRNA from 1 species